rnacentral:rRNA from 1 species
UACGGAGGGGGCUAGCGUUGUUCGGAAUUACUGGGCGUAAAGCGCACGUAGGCGGCUUUGUAAGUUAGAGGUGAAAGCCCGGAGCUCAACUCCGGAAUUGCCUUUAAGACUGCAUCGCUUGAAUCCAGGAGAGGUGAGUGGAAUUCCGAGUGUAGAGGUGAAAUUCGUAGAUAUUCGGAAGAACACCAGUGGCGAAGGCGGCUCACUGGACUGGUAUUGACGCUGAGACGCGAAAGCGUGGGGAGCAAACAGG